AUUAUACUUCCUCCGUCCAAUAUCAAGUGACUCAAAUUUUUUCAAAUAUGGAUGUAUCUAUACCUAAAAAGCGUCUAGAUACAUAUAAUAUGAAGUCGCUUAUUAUGGGACGGAGGGAGUACAAA
rfam:Brachypodium distachyon strain Bd21 chromosome 4, whole genome shotgun sequence.